UACAGAGGUCUCAAGCGUUGUUCGGAUUCAUUGGGCGUAAAGGGUGCGUAGGCGGCGCGGUAAGUCGGGUGUGAAAGUUUCGGAGCUUAACUCCGAAACUGCAUUCGAUACUGCGGUGCUUGAGGACUGGAGAGGAGACUGGAAUUCAUGGUGUAGCAGUGAAAUGCGUAGAGAUCAUGAGGAAGACCAGUGGCGAAGGCGGGU
rnacentral:rRNA from 1 species